rnacentral:rRNA from 1 species
GAUGAACGCUGGCGGCGUGCCUAAUACAUGCAAGUAGAACGCUGAAGGAGGAGCUUGCUCUUCUGGAUGAGUUGCGAACGGGUGAGUAACGCGUAGGUAACCUGCCUGGUAGCGGGGGAUAACUAUUGGAAACGAUAGCUAAUACCGCAUGACAACAGUUAUUGCAUGAUAACUGUUUAAAAGGGGCAACUGCUCCACUACCAGAUGGACCUGCGUUGUAUUAGCUAGUUGGUGAGGUAACGGCUCACCAAGGCGACGAUACAUAGCCGACCUGAGAGGGUGAUCGGCCACACUGGGACUGAGACACGGCCCAGACUCCUACGGGAGGCAGCAGUAGGGAAUCUUCGGCAACGGACGGAAGUCUGACCGAGCAACGCCGCGUGAGUGAAGAAGGUUUUCGGAUCGUAAAGCUCUGUUGUAAGAGAAGAACGAGUGUGAGAGUGGAAAGUUCACACUGUGACGGUAUCUUACCAGAAAGGGACGGCUAACUACGUG